UAAAAUAUUUGUGAAACUUAUCGUUUUGCGCUAAAAUACAUCAAUGUGUGUGAAAUUCGUUGUCAUUGCUUUUGUUUUGAACAUCAUAUUCGUGCCUGCUGGUGGAAAAAUUAGAGCGACAUAUUAGUGCAUUGGCUCGGUGAAAUAAAUGAAGCGCUACUGGAGGCAAAUUAAAAUAUCUCCCUCAGCAAAAAUGAGACUCUCGCUCAUGAUGAAAGCAUGUUAGUAGUUUAUUCUUUGAAACAUAACCGAGAUAGUCAUAUUCUAAAGCAUCAUCAACGCCAUCACCAAAUUCAAUGCCAUCAACACCAUCAGCGACUAGUAACAAUGUUAUACCACAGAUUUAUGGCUAAUUACAACGAGGCAAAAAACAUAUACAUAUGUAGGAAUUGUAAAAUUCCUAAAAUUUUGCAAAGUUUUAAGAAAACUGCAUUUUCUUGAACCACUAUAAAUGAUUUCCAAUUGUUAAUAUAUAUCAAAAGAAAGAUAAAUCGAUUACCUUUCUUUUAAUUAAAAUACCAUUGAAUUCGUUUAACAUUUUUAUGCAAAUUUCGCAACUUUUGAAAUCAUCUAUAUGUAAGCAGUGGAAAAGUCCUCAAAGUUUGUAGUUGUAAGAAAAAUGAAUUUUCGUAAACCACGAUAAAUGAUUUCCAACUGUUAAUAUAUAUCAAAAGAAUAGUACAUUGAUUAAUAUAUUAUUAUUAUUAUUAUAGUUUAAUAUCUUUAUACAUAGAUUUAUUUAAUAUCCCGUUUUGUAGAAUGGUUAUGAUGAUGUCUUAGAAACGCUUGCCAUAAUUGAUUAUUAAUAAAAUAAAGGUUUAUACU